UCCCUGGUGGUCUAGUGGUUAGGAUUCAGUGCUUUCAACACUGUGGCCUGAGUUCAAUCUUUGAUCUGGGAA
rnacentral:tRNA from 1 species